rnacentral:rRNA from 1 species
UCUUUUAUGGGGUGACUGCGUACCUUUUGUAUAAUGGGUCAGCGACUUAUAUUCUGUAGCAAGGUUAACCGAAUAGGGGAGCCGAAGGGAAACCGAGUCUUAACUGGGCGUUAAGUUGCAGGGUAUAGACCCGAAACCCGGUGAUCUAGCCAUGGGCAGGUUGAAGGUUGGGUAACACUAACUGGAGGACCGAACCGACUAAUGUUGAAAAAUUAGCGGAUGACUUGUGGCUGGGGGUGAAAGGCCAAUCAAACCGGGAGAUAGCUGGUUCUCCCCGAAAGCUAUUUAGGUAGCGCCUCGUGAAUUCAUCUCCGGGGGUAGAGCACUGUUUCGGCAAGGGGGUCAUCCCGACUUACCAACCCGAUGCAAACUGCGAAUACCGGAGAAUGUUAUCACGGGAGACACACGGCGGGUGCUAACGUCCGUCGUGAAGAGGGAAACAACCCAGACCGCCAGCUAAGGUCCCAAAGUCAUGGUUAAGUGGGAAACGAUGUGGGAAGGCCCAGACAGCCAGGAUGUUGGCUUAGAAGCAGCCAUCAUUUAAAGAAAGCGUAAUAGCUCACUGGUCGAGUCGGCCUGCGCGGAAGAUGUAACGGGGCUAAACCAUGCACCGAAGCUGCGGCAGCGACACUAUGUGUUGUUGGGUAGGGGAGCGUUCUGUAAGCCUGUGAAGGUGUACUGUGAGGUAUGCUGGAGGUAUCAGAAGUGCGAAUGCUGACAUAAGUAACGAUAAAGCGGGUGAAAAGCCCGCUCGCCGGAAGACCAAGGGUUCCUGUCCAACGUUAAUCGGGGCAGGGUGAGUCGACCCCUAAGGCGAGGCCGAAAGGCGUAGUCGAUGGGAAACAGGUUAAUAUUCCUGUACUUGGUGUUACUGCGAAGGGGGGACGGAGAAGGCUAUGUUGGCCGGGCGACGGUUGUCCCGGUUUAAGCGUGUAGGCUGGUUUUCCAGGCAAAUCCGGAAAAUCAAGGCUGAGGCGUGAUGACGAGGCACUACGGUGCUGAAGCAACAAAUGCCCUGCUUCCAGGAAAAGCCUCUAAGCAUCAGGUAACAUCAAAUCGUACCCCAAACCGACACAGGUGGUCAGGUAGAGAAUACCAAGGCGCUUGAGAGAACUCGGGUGAAGGAACUAGGCAAAAUGGUGCCGUAACUUCGGGAGAAGG